rnacentral:rRNA from 1 species
CCUACGGGAGGCUGCAGUGGGGAAUAUUGGACAAUGGGCGAAAGCCUGAUCCAGCCAUGCCGCGUGUGUGAAGAAGGCCUUCGGGUUGUAAAGCACUUUCAGUGGGGAAGAAAGCCUUGGGGCUAAUACCCUCGAGGAAGGACAUCACCCACAGAAGAAGCACCGGCUAACUCCGUGCCAGCAGCCGCGGUAAUACGGAGGGUGCGAGCGUUAAUCGGAAUUACUGGGCGUAAAGCGCGCGUAGGCGGUCUGAUAAGCCGGUUGUGAAAGCCCCGGGCUCAACCUGGGAACGGCAUCCGGAACUGUCAGGCUAGAGUGAAGGAGAGGAAGGUAGAAUUCCCGGUGUAGCGGUGAAAUGCGUAGAGAUCGGGAGGAAUACCAGUGGCGAAGGCGGCCUUCUGGACUGACACUGACGCUGAGGUGCGAAAGCGUGGGUAGCAAACAGGAUUAGAUACCCCGGUAGUC